rnacentral:rRNA from 1 species
CCUGGCGGCCUUAGCGCCGUGGUCCCACCUGACCCCAUGCCGAACUCAGAAGUGAAACGCCGUAGCGCCGAUGGUAGUGUGGGGUCUCCCCAUGCGAGAGUAGGGAACUGCCAGGC